rnacentral:rRNA from 1 species
CAGUCGCCGCGGUAAUACGGAGGGUGCAAGCGUUAUCCGGAUUUAUUGGGUUUAAAGGGUCCGUAGGCGGAUCUGUAAGUCAGUGGUGAAAUCUCACAGCUUAACUGUGAAACUGCCAUUGAUACUGCAGGUCUUGAGUAAAUUUGAAGUGGCUGGAAUAAGUAGUGUAGCGGUGAAAUGCAUAGAUAUUACUUAGAACACCAAUUGCGAAGGCAGGUCACUAAGAUUUAACUGACGCUGAUGGACGAAAGCGUGGGGAGCGAACAGGAUUAGAUACCCCCGUAGUCCCUGUCUCUUUACA